CUGUUAUAUAUAUACACGUCUAUAGUGUAAAGCACGUUUACCACAAGGCGCAUUCAUUCGCGCGAAAAGACUUUUUCUUUGUCGGCAUCGCUUACACGUCAUUACUUUUAUCUGGAUGACCCAGCGCCUAAUUCCAACAGCCCCCCCCCCCCUGAUUCCAAGGUCCCCAAUGGUGUAAUGAUUGCUCUAUUAGUUUUGCCAGUUCCUUCUGUUGCUAGAAGGGAGAAAACAGAAG